UAGUGGCGAACGGGUGAGUAACACGUGGGCAAUCUGCCCUUCACUCUGGGACAAGCCCUGGAAACGGGGUCUAAUACCGGAUACGAGUUCAGGAGGCAUCUUCUGGACUGGAAAGCUCCGGCGGUGAAGGAUGAGCCCGCGGCCUAUCAGCUUGUUGGUGGGGUAACGGCCCACCAAGGCGACGACGGGUAGCCGGCCUGAGAGGGCGACCGGCCACACUGGGACUGAGACACGGCCCAGACUCCUACGGGAGGCAGCAGUGGGGAAUAUUGCACAAUGGGCGAAAGCCUGAUGCAGCGACGCCGCGUGAGGGAUGACGGCCUUCGGGUUGUAAACCUCUUUCAGCAGGGAAGAAGCGAAAGUGACGGUACCUGCAGAAGAAGCGCCGGCUAACUACGUGCCAGCAGCCGCGGUAAUACGUAGGGCGCAAGCGUUGUCCGGAAUUAUUGGGCGUAAAGAGCUCGUAGGCGGCUUGUCACGUCGGGUGUGAAAGCCCGGGGCUUAACCCCGGGUCUGCAUCCGAUACGGGCAGGCUAGAGUGUGGUAGGGGAGAUCGGAAUUCCU
rnacentral:rRNA from 1 species